rnacentral:rRNA from 1 species
GGUUAAGCGACUAAGCGUACACGGUGGAUGCCCUGGCAGUCAGAGGCGAUGAAGGACGUGCUAAUCUGCGAAAAGCGUCGGUAAGGUGAUAUGAACCGUUACAACCGGCGAUGUCCGAAUGGGGAAACCCAGUGCAAUUCGUUGCACUAUCGUUAACUGAAUACAUAGGUUAACGAGGCGAACCGGGGGAACUGAAACAUCUAAGUACCCCGAGGAAAAGAAAUCAACCGAGAUUCCCCCAGUAGCGGCGAGCGAACGGGGAGCAGCCCAG